GCGGUCAUAGUUUAGUGGUAAAACACGUCCUUGCCAAGGAUGAAAUUGGAGUCCGAUUCUCCAUGGCCGCACAA
rnacentral:tRNA from 5 species